rnacentral:rRNA from 1 species
UACGGGGGGAGCAAGCGUUGUUCGGAUUUACUGGGCGUAAAGGGCGCGUAGGCGGCGCAACAAGUCACUUGUGAAAUCUCCGGGCUUAACCCGGAGCGGCCAAGUGAUACUGUCGUGCUAGAGUGCGGAAGGGGCUACUGGAAUUCUCGGUGUAGCGGUGAAAUGCGUAGAUAUCGAGAGGAACACCUGCGGCGAAGGCGGCCCACUGGAUCGGUACUGACGCUGAGGUGCGAAAGCGUGGGGAGCAAACAGG